AGCGAACGCUGGCGGCAGGCCUAACACAUGCAAGUCGAACGAACUCUUCGGAGUUAGUGGCGGACGGGUGAGUAACACGUGGAACGUGCCUUUAGGUUCGGAAUAACUCAGGGAAACUUGCGCUAAUACCGAAUGUGCCCUUCGGGGGAAAGAUUUAUCGCCUUUAGAGCGGCCCGCGUCUGAUUAGCUAGUUGGUGAGGUAAAGGCUCACCAAGGCGACGAUCAGUAGCUGGUCUGAGAGGAUGAUCAGCCACAUUGGGACUGAGACACGGCCCAAACUCCUACGGGAGGCAGCAGUGGGGAAUCUUGCGCAAUGGGCGAAAGCCUGACGCAGCCAUGCCGCGUGAAUGGUGAAGGUCUUAGGAUUGUAAAAUUCUUUCACCGGGGACGAUAAUGACGGUACCCGGAGAAGAAGCCCCGGCUAACUUCGUGCCAGCAGCCGCCGUAA
rnacentral:rRNA from 1 species